rnacentral:lncRNA from 1 species
GGUGGUGGGUGUUGGACCAAAAAGUAGCUAAAGAUAAAAUAGGCCGAAAAGCGAGUGACAAGUGACAACCACUUAGAUAUAUUUAGAUGAAUCGGCAUCUUUAAGAUGGUCCGGUAUUUUAGAUGAAUUGGCAUCUUUAAGAUGGUCCGGUAAAGAUCCUAUAUUAGGUCAUCUGAGUCUCUCCCAGAUAUAUUUUCCGAUUAUUGAUGGAGGUUCCUGCUUAAGCGGCGGUUGGGUGAAGGGUGGAGAUGAAGGAGUUCAUAACUCUGCUGGGCCGCGACGCUUUACCGGCGGAGCUGUUUCAGAAAGCCUCUCACUCCAGCGGCAGCGCGUCUUUGAUACGUGUCAUCUCAGAUCGAGGUGUUGUUUCAUGCAUAUCGAGAUGAAGACGAGUGGCAGGACUUUUCUUCGUAGAAGAUGCGUGGAUUUGAGUGAGACAGAACGACUCAAGAGGAUCUGAUGGGCUAAAAAUGGGCCGGACUGUUUUGUAUUUUAAUGCUUUGAGUCUGUAUUUUUAUAAUUGAGCUUUAUGAACUUCUCAUGUAAUAUGCCCUUUGGGCUUCUCUAAUAAAAAGAGAAUGUUGACAAAAAAAAAGAUAAAAUAGGCCGAAAGCCCAAGCCCAUUAGCAUUCA